UAUUAUUGAAAUUAAAGGAUAUAUUCAAUAUAUUUACUACAUUUCUCCCCGUACGAUAAAACUUCGAAGCUCUCAUCACAGUUGAACUUUUUUCCAUAAUCGGAAAGUUAGGUUAUUAUUGAAUUCUGAGAUAUAAAACACAGUUCUUGGACGUGAAUCUGUAUGAGAGAUCGGAUAUUAUAACUGAUAGUAUAUUUUGUCACUAAUAAUACUUAUUUUUUUCAGGCACAUAUCAAUUUAUCAGAUACAGAAAUGAAAAAAUCCUAGGAUGGCAAUUAUCAUCCCUCGGAGAGACUGUAUUAGGAAUAAAAAACCUUCUUCAUGGGUAAAGUCCUGAAGCAGUUCGUUCAGGAGAGCUUCUAUUUGAAAUAUAUGAUCUAUUUUUCAAGUUUACAUAAUGUAUUUCAUAUUAAAUUACAUACAAACUCAUAGAAUGACAAAUAUGUUUACUUGGUGUAUAAAUAUGAGAAUUUAUAGAUAACAACCUGUUCUUGGGGGCACACAUGAAUUUGUCAGAUCAUGAAAUGUAAAGCAAUGUCAAAAAAGCAUGUAUCGGUGAGAGUUUAUUGAAAUAAGAAAGGUUCUUCAUGGAUAAGCUUCUAGAGCAAUUCGUUCAGGAGAGUCUUUAUUUGAAGUAUAUAAACAUGCGAUUUUAUACAUAACACACCGUUCUUGGGGCUAAGUCUUUUCAGGCACACAUAAAUUUAUCAGAUCAUGAAAUGUCAUGUCAAAAAAGCAUGUAUCGGAGAGAGUUAAUUGAAAUAAAAAAGGUUCUUCAUGGAUGAGCUUCUAGAGCAAUUUGUUCAGGAGAGUUUUUAUUUGAAGUAUAUGAUCUAUUUUACAAGUUCACAUAAUAUAUUUCAUAUACAUUACAUGCAAACCCAUAGAAUGACAAAUAUCCUUCUUUAAGUUUCAGGCACACAUAAAUUUAUCAGAUCAUGAAAUGUCAUGUCAAAAAAGCAUGUAUCGGAGAGAGUUAAUUGAAAUAAAAAAGGUUCUUCAUGGAUGAGCUUCUAGAGCAAUUCGUUAAGGAGAGUUUUUAUUCGAAUUUUAGGCACACAUAAAUUUAUCAAAUCAUGAAAUGUAAUGUCAUGUCAAAAAAGCAUGUAUCGGAGAGAGUUAAUUGAAAUAAAAAAGGUUCUUCAUGGAUAAGCUUCUAGAGCAAUUCGUUCAGGAGAGUUUUUAUUUGAAGUAUAUAAACAUGAGAUUUUAUACAUAGCACACAGUUCUGGGGGGCUAAGUCUUUAUAGAAGAUCAACCAGGAGGUUCUAUAUUUCAUAAGUAAUAUUCAUUUUCUGAUACUGCUCAAUUUUGUUUCGAAAGAAUUUUCUCAAUGGGAAAAAACUGGAACAACGCCUCAUUUCAAGGAACGCUCUUAGUCAUAUAUGUUAUGUGAUAAUCUCUAUCGUAUAUUAUUGAAAUAGGAAAAUCAUUUUAUAUUUUUGAUCAAUAUAUUUUCACUGGCUA